UACGAAGGGGGCUAGCGUUGUUCGGAAUGACUGGGCGUAAAGGGCGCGUAGGCGGCGAUCUUAGUCAGGCGUGAAAGCCCUGGGCUUAACCUAGGAAUUGCGUUUGAUACUGGGUUGCUGGAGUGCGGGAGAGGAUGGUGGAAUUCCCAGUGUAGAGGUGAAAUUCGUAGAUAUUGGGAAGAACACCGGUGGCGAAGGCGGCUCACUGGCCCGUUACUGACGCUCAGGCGCGACAGCGUGGGGAUCAAACAGG
rnacentral:rRNA from 1 species